AUUAUGCCCUCCAAAACUUUUACCCUUUACCCGGAUCCAUCAUCAGCCAUCCAUUUUCUUUCAUGUCUUCACACGGAUCGUGAUCUGACGGAUGAUGUUGUUUUCACACGGAUCCACCUUUCCCCUUCAUUCUCUCUCAUCUCUCUCACAACUCACAUCUCACCAGUCUCUCUCUCUCUCUCUCUGGUGAUCCCAGAUCCAGAUCUGGAUCUAGGGUUUCUCUGCUAUCUCUCUCGCGAUCCAAGCUAUUCAGAUCCGCCUUUCCAUCUGCUCUCUCUCUCGCACGAUCCAAGCGAUUCAGAUCCAAGGAGAUUCAGAUCCAAGAGAUUCAGAUCUAGGUGUCAUGGUUUAAGGAACGUGUCACGUUUCUUCAGAGAUUCCGGUCGGAAUCCGAGCCGAGAUAAUGGAUGCUCUAGGGUUUAUGAAGGUUUGAUGAACUCUGCUGCGUGUACCAGCGAAACACAAAGAUCCACUUUAAAUGGCUUCCGGUAAGACGAUUAGGGUUCCGGCGUGCUAGACUGCCAUCUCUGUCAAAAAAGGUUCCUCAAAGAUAGUGGUUGUGGGUGGAAGAUGAUGACACAAGCCUUGGUAAUUUCAGAUCUCUAUUGACCCUCACCCUAAAAUCAAAUCCAUGUUUACUCGACCUCCAUAUUUUGAGGGUAAAAGUGAAGAUGACUUCUUUGACAGGACUUAAAGCAAGUUGAAGUUUGCACCAGAUAAGGUUCGAUUACAAUGUCUCAGUUAGGGCUUCCCAUCUCUAUUAGAAAGCCAUGGAUAAAGAUGAUGUCCUUACCCCAAGCAUUUGUUGCUUCUGAUGUGAAGGUCAUUACCGAUGUAGAGGAGGUUUUGUCGAUGAUACGGGCUAAAUUCGACAAAGCAAAAGAGUUAGAUGUUGAUCUGCAUAUAUUUGCUGGAGAUUUGCUCGGAAAUUUUGAGAAGAACGCAGAAAGUAAACCACAAUGGCAGGAAAACUUGGAGGAUUUGCUGGUAUUGGCUCAUUGUUCAAGAUCUUGAUGAUAGGCGUCAGGACUUUCCAUGGGUAUUCUGAAGCAACAUCACAAGAAGCAUCAACAACAGAUUGAAAGGGUGGAUUUUUCCGGUUGUUUGAGUCCAACUGCACUGGAAUCAGCUGAAUCGUUUGUUCAUAUACCUUUUGGUGCUAGAAUGUUUAAUAAUGACAUGAUGUUAAGAAGAAAAUUAGAGGAACGGGAAUUACACCAAGCGAUAGAACUCCAAGACAGAAGAUUAAUGAUCCUGCAGUUGGCUGAUGCAAAACACCGUCUGUUUCAACGGAGUUUAUCUCUAGAUGAUGUCGUUUCUUCACUAACUCAAAUAAGCCAAAAUCUUGUUUUCCCAUCUGAUAACAAUAAUGAAGAAGUUGUUGAAGGAUGAGGGCAAUUGAUAAGCUAAAGGAUAUGUUGGAUCUGUUUGCCACCGCCUCCUACACCCCGCCACACAGCUUCUUCGUCGCCGCCACCGUAUGCCUCGGUUUUGUUUAGAUCGGUGGCAUGCGACUCUUUUUCUGUUAGUUCUCUUGUCGACACUGUUGUCUUUUCAGAUUUCCACCAGACAUAGGGUUCCGACAACACUCAAGGAGUUCCGGUGAGGUUCCGUCGAUAAGGAUAACUGCAAAGGCACAUUAGUUUCCGUGGACUUCAAAAACAUUGCAUGCAAAAAAAUCGGAUUUCACGCUUCGUGGUGAUAGUCUUUCUUGGAAAUGAAAGCAUAUUGGAUUUCUGGGAAAAAUUUCGUGGAGAAGAUACUAAGGGUACAACCAAUAUAAUAAAAAAAUCUUUCUACUUAUAAAAGCUUCAGAUCUAAGCUCGGCUUUGCAUUCGGUUGCACUCAGAGGUCAUUGAAAAGGAUCUAUACAACGUCAUAUCUAAAAAGGUAACACCAGUAGCUAGCUGGCGAUUUGUGCUUGGAAAAUUUAGGAGUGACAGGCAUUGAUUUGUUAAAUGAGAUGCAAAGAAGUGGAGUUUUUGUUCGGGAGCAUAAAGAUACACAAGGACCUGAAUAGAUAAUGCCAUCUAAACAAUUUCCAGUGUUCUAGAUUGGCAAGUCAUAGAAAAGUGUUCUAAAUGGACAAGGCAUAAAAACUAACACUGCAGAAAGAGCAUGGAGCCAUGUCAUGGAGAACAGACAGCUACUUGAUGGUCCAAACGUACGUCAACGAAGCUACCUGAUUGGUUGGUUGCUUAAAGCAGUCAAGCGGGCCACACUUUUUUUUCAGUUGUGUGCUAUCAAUGUAUAUUCUACAACAUCUUUAGAAGCAGAGUGGUGGUGUUGCACGUCACAUUCUUUAGUAGUUGCAGAGCACGGAAAUUGGUGACUUUGACUCCAAGGGCGAUUCAGGGAUUAUAGAAAAUAAGGUAUUUAUUAUUGCUGCUGAUAUCAAUUUUGUAUACAAGGUGAACUUUUGACUAAAUAAAGUCAAAUGUGCUGAGUUGCUUAGUUAAAUUCGCAGUUGAUAAGACAAUUUUCGUUUUGAAUUUUCAUAAUCUUGGCCAUUGUUUGGUUUUAAUUGGUUUUGGGUUGGCACUAUUACAUGAUAUGAGACCAAUUAUUUGUUUCAAAA